UACGAAAGGUCCAAGCGUUACUCGGAAUUACUGGGCGUAAAGCGUGCGCAGGCGGUCUUGUAAGUUUGUCGUGAAAUCCCCGGGCUUAACCUGGGAACUGCAUUGGUGACUGGCAGGCUUUGAGUGUGGCAGAGGGAGGUAGAAUUCCACGUGUAGCAGUGAAAUGCGUAGAGAUGUGGAGGAAUACCGAUGGCGAAGGCAGCCGUCCUCGG
rnacentral:rRNA from 1 species